GACGAACGCUGGCGGCGUGCCUAAUACAUGCAAGUCGAGCGAGACUUUUCGGAGUCUAGCGGCGGACGGGUGAGUAACACGUGGGCAACCUACCUGUAAGACUGGGAUAACACCGGGAAACCGGUGCUAAUACCGGAUAAUCCUUUUCCUCUCAUGAGGAAAAGCUGAAAGUCGGUUUCGGCUGACACUUACAGAUGGGCCCGCGGCGCAUUAGCUAGUUGGUGAGGUAACGGCUCACCAAGGCGACGAUGCGUAGCCGACCUGAGAGGGUGAUCGGCCACACUGGGACUGAGACACGGCCCAGACUCCUACGGGAGGCAGCAGUAGGGAAUCUUCCACAAUGGACGAAAGUCUGAUGGAGCAACGCCGCGUGAGCGAUGAAGGCCUUCGGGUCGUAAAACUCUGUUGUUAGGGAAGAACAAGUACCGGAGUAACUGCCGGUACCUUGACGGUACCUAACCAGAAAGCCACGGCUAACUACGUGCCAGCCGCCGCCGUAAAAC
rnacentral:rRNA from 1 species